AAAUUGAGCAACGAAAACGAGAGAGAAUUUAAAAGGGAAAAAAUGGAGUAUUCGUACCAUUCUGCGUCACUUAAACAAAAAUUCAAAUGAGAGUUUGGUUCUUUAUGGCAUGGAGUGGUUUAUCAAUAAUGCAUAAGCUUUCUUUAAAUAUAUGCUGUGAUAUCUGCUUUUUAGCCUUUCGUUCGCAGUGUGAGCAAUUUCAAAGUCAACUACAGCUUUUAACCCUACACAUUCCAUGGUUACGCGAUUCUUUCUCAUCUUUAAAGUAGUUUGAACAAUUCUUGCAUUAUAGCCAAACAUGGGGACGAUACCGAAAGGCACUGAGUACAUCAACUUCCUACACUUAAUCUUGUUAAAGCUGAUACGUAGCAGUUUUAUCAAUGCACCGUUUGCUGUUUCAUUGCAACCAUUAUUUUUGCAGUCGAUGCAAACUUAAAUUAUCAUUUAUUCAAAAGCAGAACUUGUACGA